AGGAGGUGAAACCAGCACAAACAGUAUUGCAUCCAUUUUUGCUUGGUCUCGUGGCCUUGCUCACAGGGCAAAACUAGAUGACAAUGCUAGUCUCUUAGAGUUCACCGAGAAACUAGAAUCGGCUUGUAUUAAUACUGUGGAAUCUGGGAAGAUGACCAAGGAUCUUGCUCUUAUCCUUCAUGGUCCCAAGCUUUCUCGUGAGCACUAUCUGAAUACUGG
rnacentral:misc_RNA from 1 species